GAUGAACGCUGGCGGCGUGCCUAAUACAUGCAAGUCGAGCGAACAGACGAGGAGCUUGCUCCUCUGACGUUAGCGGCGGACGGGUGAGUAACACGUGGAUAACCUACCUAUAAGACUGGGAUAACUUCGGGAAACCGGAGCUAAUACCGGAUAAUAUAUUUAACCGCAUGGUUCAAUAGUGAAAGACGGUUUUGCUGUCACUUAUAGAUGGAUCCGCGCCGCAUUAGCUAGUUGGUAAGGUAACGGCUUACCAAGGCAACGAUGCGUAGCCGACCUGAGAGGGGGAUCGGCCACACGGGAACUGAGACACGGUCCAGACUCCUACGGGAGGCAGCAGUAGGGAAUCUUCCGCAAUGGGCGAAAGCUUGACGGAGCAACGCCGCGUGAGUGAUGAAGGUCUUCGGAUCGUAAAACUCUGUGAUUAGGGAAGAACAAAUGUGUAAGUAACUAUGCACGUCUUGACGGUACCUAAUCAGAAAGCCACGGCUAACUACGUG
rnacentral:rRNA from 1 species